rnacentral:rRNA from 1 species
GCGGUGGAGCAUGUGGUUUAAUUCGUACGCAACGCGAAGAACCUUACCAGGGCUUGACAUCCCCUGACCGCGUAUGAAAGACGUUUUCACCCUCGGGUGACAGGGAGACAGGUGGUGCAUGGUUGUCGUCAGCUCGUGUUGUGAGAUGUCGGGUUAAGUCCCUUAACGAGCGAAACCCUUGCCGUUAGUUACCAGCGGGUCAUGCCGGGAACUCUAGCGGGACUGCCGGUGUUAAACCGGAGGAAGGUGGGGAUGACGUCAAGUCAUCAUGGCCUUUAUGCCUAGGGCAUCACACGUGCUACAAUGGCCGGGACAAAGCGACGCAAGACCGCGAGGUGGAGCUAAUCGCAAAAACCCGGCCCCAGUUCGGAUUGCAGGCUGGCAACUCGCCUGCAUGAAGUUGGAAUCGCUAGUAAUCGUGAAUCAGCUAUGUCACGGUGAAUGUGUUCCUGAGCCUU